AGAGUUUGAUCCUGGCUCAGGAUGAAUGCUGGCGGCGUGUCUAAGGCAUGCAAGUCGAAUGGGUUAGACCCAUGGCAAACGGGUGAGUAACACAUUGGUAACCUGCCUCGAAGUUCGGCAUAACUCGCCGAAAGGUGAAAUAAUUCCGGAUGUGCUUAACAAUCGCAAGGUUGAUAAGUAAAGAUUUAUCGCUUCGAGAGGGACCUAUGGCUUAUCAGCUUGUUGGUAGGGUAACGGCCUACCAAGGCUACGACGAGUAGCGGGCGUGAGAGCGCGACCCGCCUCACUGGGACUGAGACACUGCCCAGACUCCUACGGGAGGCUGCAGUCAAGAAUCUUCCACAAUGGACGAAAGUCUGAUGGAGCGACGCCGCGUGAUCGAAGAAGCCCUUCGGGGUGUAAAGAUCUUUUAUUAGGGACGAAUCAAUGACGGUACCUAAAGAAUAAGGGGCUGCUAAUCACGUGCCAGCAGCAGCGGUAAUACGUGAGCCCCGAGCAUUAUCCGGAUUUAUUGGGCGUAAAGAGUCUGUAGGUGUUUUAGAAAGUUUCUCGUCAAAUCCCGGGGCUUAACCCCAGGACUGCGGGAAAAACUUCUAAAAUAGAGGACGGGAGAGGUAGAUGGAAUUGCCGGUGUAGCGGUAAAAUGCGUUAAUAUCGGCAAGAACACCAAAUGCGAAAGCUUUCUACUGGAACGCUCCUGACACUGAGAGACGAAAGCGUGGGUAGCGAAUGGGAUUAGAUACCCUGGUAGUCC
rnacentral:rRNA from 1 species